GAGGGAGAAAGCCGCAAGGUGAGUAAACCGGCGAACGGGUGCGUAACACGUGGAUAAUCUACCUUCCUGACCGGGACAACUGGCCGAAAGGCUUGCUAAUACCGGAUAAGACCCCGGGUUCUUCGGAGCUUGAGGGAAAAGGUGGCCUCUGUAAACAAGCUAUCACAGGGAGAUGAGUCCGCGGCCCAUCAGCUAGUUGGCGGGGUAAAAGCCCACCAAGGCGACGACGGGUAGCUGGUCUGAGAGGAUGAUCAGCCACACUGGAACUGAGACACGGUCCAGACUCCUACGGGAGGCAGCAGUGGGGAAUAUUGGACAAUGGGCGAAAGCCUGAUCCAGCCAUGCCGCGUGUGUGAAGAAGGCCUUUUGGUUGUAAAGCACUUUAAGCGGGGAGGAGGGCUCUGUGGUUAAUACCCAUAGAAGUCGGACGUUACCCGCAGAAUAAGCACCGGCUAACUCUGUG
rnacentral:rRNA from 1 species